rnacentral:rRNA from 1 species
UUAGAGGGCAAGUCUGGUGCCAGCAGCCGCGGUAAUUUCCAGCUCUAAUAGCGUAUAUUAAUACUGUUGCAGUUAAAACGCUCGUAGUUGAACUUAGAAUUAUUACAAGUUUAUUUUACUUUGAUUUGUAAAAGUGCUUGCUUAAUUCUUAUCUACUAGAUACUCUAUUCUGUACUUAAUUGUAUGGAAUACCACCUAGCCAGUGGAACUUUGGUAGAAUAAUGCCUUUUUAAUACCUAGAGUGUAAAAACUUGAAGUGUUAAAUUGGGAUCACAUUAUUUUAUUGAAGUGGGGUUCUAGUUAAUUUACUUUGAGUAAAUUAGAGUGUUCAAAGCAGCCUCUUGGGGCUUUGAAUAGAUUUUAGCAUGGGGAUAAUAGAAUAGGAUUUUGAUAAUCUAUUUGUUGGUUUGAAUUAAUCAAAUAAUGAUUAAUAGGGACAGUUGGGG